AUUGAACGCUGGCGGAAUGCUUUACACAUGCAAGUCGAGCGGCAGCACGGGGGCAACCCUGGUGGCGAGCGGCGAACGGGUGAGUAAUACAUCGGAACAUGCCCAGUCGUGGGGGAUAACACUUCGAAAGAAGUGCUAAUACCGCAUACGUCCUGAGGGGGAAAGCGGGGGAUCGCAAGACCUCGCGCGAUUGGAGUGGCCGAUGUCAGAUUAGCUAGUUGGUGGGGUAAAGGCCUACCAAGGCAACGAUCUAUAGCUGGUCUGAGAGGAUGAUCAGCCACACUGGGACUGAGACACGGCCCAGACUCCUACGGGAGGCAGCAGUGGGGAAUUUUGGACAAAGGGGGCAACCCUGAUCCAGCCAUUCCGCGUGAGUGAAGAAGGCCUUCGGGUUGUAAAGCUCUUUCGGCAGGAACGAAACGGUGAGCUCUAACAUAGCUUGCUAAUGACGGUACCUGAAGAAGAAGCACCGGCUAACUACGUG
rnacentral:rRNA from 1 species